UAACUAGUCUCUAUUCUAACAGGCAAAGCGUCGCAGCACCUUCCGAGAGCAGUAGCGUGCUCCCUUUGAUCCUCGCUUCACCUUUUCAACGCAGCUGCACAGCAAGGGUGCGUCGCCCUUCCUCAGAUUUGGCUGCUAGUGCUACCGCGUUUCCUUGCGUUGCCCACAGCUGUUUUUCCCCACCAGAAAUCUGCAGAGAAGGACAGCCAUUGCGGCCAAAAGCUGGUGAGACAAAGAUCUUUCCUCCACUAUUAACAGCUCCCUCUCUCUAAUUCUCCUUAAAUAYGUAAAGGAGACACUAAAUUUACAACAUGCAUUGUUAACAACCAAGGCGAAGCUGGAGGGAGUUAAAACAUCCCACUUCUUCAUGCUGGUUUGGGAAUCCCAGCCUUCGAGUGACUUUUUCAAGCUCUUCUUUGUACCCCGGCAUUAGCUAAAACCAGGGAAAAUCCGCCAGCAGUGGAACAGGUCUGCCCGGGGGCCUGGUGGCUGUGCUGGGGGCCUGCCGUCGCCGCCUGCCCUGCACGCUGGGGAAAGGCCUGGGAACAGGC
rnacentral:lncRNA from 1 species